rnacentral:lncRNA from 1 species
AGAAGACAAAACAAAUAAAAAAAUGAAUAAAAAUGAAGUAGGACUUAUAAUUGAAAACCUGAAAAGGGCAGUUUGAGUUAAAAUGAAAGAUCUAAGUUGAAAACCUGAAAAUGUGGCUUAGAUGCAAAGGAAAUAUCCAAGUACAUGGGGCAAUGUCUAAUACAACGAACUCGAAAGGAUUAAAUGUAUUAAUGGAAUUGCUUUUUAAAAGGAAAAAUUUUGGAAUAUUG